rnacentral:rRNA from 1 species
GUGCCAGCCGCCGCGGUAAUACAUAGGGGUCGAGCGUUGUCCGGAUUUAUUGGGCGUAAAGAGCUCGUAGGCGGUUCAACAAGUCGGUCGUGAAAGUUCAGGGCUCAACCCUGAAAUGUCGAUCGAUACUGUUGUGACUAGGAUACGGUAGAGGUGAAUGGAAUUCCGAGUGUAGCGGUGAAAUGCGUAGAUAUUCGGAGGAACACCAAUUGCGAAGGCAGUUCACUGGACCGUGAUCGACGCUGAGGAGCGAAAGCUAGGGGAGCACACAGGAUUAGAUA